rnacentral:rRNA from 1 species
CUACGGGCGGCUCCAGUGAGGAAUAUUGCACAAUGGGGGGAACCCUGAUGCAGCAACGCCGCGUGGAGGAUGACGCAUUUCGGUGUGUAAACUCCUUUUAUAUGUCAAGAAAAUGACGGUAGCAUAUGAAUAAGCACCGGCUAACUCCGUGCCAGCAGCCGCGGUAAUACGGAGGGUGCAAGCGUUACUCGGAAUCACUGGGCGUAAAGGACGCGUAGGCGGGUUGGAAAGUCGGGUGUGAAAUCCUACAGCUUAACUGUAGAACUGCACCUGAAACUUCUAAUCUAGAGUAUGGGAGGGGGAGAUGGAAUUAGUGGUGUAGGGGUAAAAUCCGUAGAUAUCACUAGGAAUACCUAAAGCGAAGGCGAUCACCUGGAACAUUACUGACGCUAAGGCGUGAAAGCGUGGGGAGCAAACAGGAUUAGAUACCCUCGUAGUC